rnacentral:rRNA from 1 species
GCUACACAUGCAAGUCGAACGGUAACAGGAAGCAGCUUGCUGCUUCGCUGACGAGUGGCGGACGGGUGAGUAAUGUCUGGGAAACUGCCUGAUGGAGGGGGAUAACUACUGGAAACGGUAGCUAAUACCGCAUAACGUCGCAAGACCAAAGAGGGGGACCUUCGGGCCUCUUGCCAUCGGAUGUGCCCAGAUGGGAUUAGCUAGUAGGUGGGGUAACGGCUCACCUAGGCGACGAUCCCUAGCUGGUCUGAGAGGAUGACCAGCCACACUGGAACUGAGACACGGUCCAGACUCCUACGGGAGGCAGCAGUGGGGAAUAUUGCACAAUGGGCGCAAGCCUGAUGCAGCCAUGCCGCGUGUAUGAAGAAGGCCUUCGGGUUGUAAAGUACUUUCAGCGGGGAGGAAGGGAGUAAAGUUAAUACCUUUGCUCAUUGACGUUACCCGCAGAAGAAGCACCGGCUAACUCCGUGCCAGCAGCCGCGGUAAUACGGAGGGUGCAAGCGUUAAUCGGAAUUACUGGGCGUAAAGCGCACGCAGGCGGUUUGUUAAGUCAGAUGUGAAAUCCCCGGGCUCAACCUGGGAACUGCAUCUGAUACUGGCAAGCUUGAGUCUCGUAGAGGGGGGUAGAAUUCCAGGUGUAGCGGUGAAAUGCGUAGAGAUCUGGAGGAAUACCGGUGGCGAAGGCGGCCCCCUGGACGAAGACUGACGCUCAGGUGCGAAAGCGUGGGGAGCAAAACAGGAUUAGAUACCCUGGUAGUCCACGCCGUAAACGAUGUCGACUUGGAGGUUGUGCCCUUGAGGCGUGGCUUCCGGAGCUAACGCGUUAAGUCGACCGCCUGGGGAGUACGGCCGCAAGGUUAAAACUCAAAUGAAUUGACGGGGGCCCGCACAAGCGGUGGAGCAUGUGGUUUAAUUCGAUGCAACGCGAAGAACCUUACCUGGUCUUGACAUCCACGGAAGUUUUCAGAGAUGAGAAUGUGCCUUCGGGAACCGUGAGACAGGUGCUGCAUGGCUGUCGUCAGCUCGUGUUGUGAAAUGUUGGGUUAAGUCCCGCAACGAGCGCAACCCUUAUCCUUUGUUGCCAGCGGUCCGGCCGGGAACUCAAAGGAGACUGCCAGUGAUAAACUGGAGGAAGGUGGGGAUGACGUCAAGUCAUCAUGGCCCUUACGACCAGGGCUACACACGUGCUACAAUGGCGCAUACAAAGAGAAGCGACCUCGCGAGAGCAAGCGGACCUCAUAAAGUGCGUCGUAGUCCGGAUUGGAGUCUGCAACUCGACUCCAUGAAGUCGGAAUCGCUAGUAAUCGUGGAUCAGAAUGCCACGGUGAAUACGUUCCCGGGCCUUGUACACACCGCCCGUCACACCAUGGGAGUGGGUUGCAAAAGAAGUAGGUAGCUUAACCUUCGGGAGGGCGCUUU